GACGAACGCUGGCGGCGUGCUUAACACAUGCAAGUCGAACGGAAAGGCCCUGCUUGCAGGGUACUCGAGUGGCGAACGGGUGAGUAACACGUGGGUGAUCUGCCCUGCACUUCGGGAUAAGCCUGGGAAACUGGGUCUAAUACCGGAUAGGAGCCAUUUUUAGUGUGAUGGUUGCAAAGUUUUUUCGGUGUAGGAUGAGCUCGCGGCCUAUCAGCUUGUUGGUGGGGUAAUGGCCUACCAAGGCGGCGACGGGUAGCCGGCCUGAGAGGGUGGACGGCCACAGUGGGACUGAGAUACGGCCCAGACUCCGACGGGAGGCAGCAGUGGGGAAUAUUGCACAAUGGGCGCAAGCCUGAUGCAGCGCCGCCGCGUGGGGGAUGACGGCCUUCGGGUUGUAAACUCCUUUCGCUAGGGACGAAGCUUUUUGUGACGGUACCUAGAUAAGAAGCACCGGCUAACUACGUG
rnacentral:rRNA from 1 species